UCACUACGGUGCUGAAGCAACAAAUGCCCUGCUUCCAGGAAAAGCCUCAAGCAUCAGGUAACAUCAAANNAUUCCCCCAAACCGACACAGGUGGUCAGGUAGAGAAUACCAAGGCGCUUGAGAGAACUCGGGUGAAGGAACUAAAGCAAAAUGGUGCCGUAACCGGGAGAAGGCACGCUGAUAUGUAGGUGAAGCGGCUUGCUCGUGAGCUGAAAUCAGUCGAAGAUACCAGCUGGCUGCAACUGUUUAUUAAAAACAGCACUGUGCAAACACGAAAGUGGACGUAUACGGUGUGACGCCUCCCCGGUGCCGGAAGGUUAAUUGAUGGGGUUAGCCGCAAGGCGAAGCUCUUGAUCGAAGCCCCGGUAAACGGCGGCCGUACAAUAACGGUCCUAAGGUAGCGAAAUUCCUUGUCGGGUAAGUUCCGACCUGCACGAAUGGCGUAAUGAUGGCCAGGCUGUCUCCCACCCGAGACUCAGUGAAAUUGAACUCGCUGUGAAGAUGCAGUGUACCCGCGGCAAGACGGAAAGACCCCGUGAACCUUUACUAUAGCUUGACACUGAACAUUGAGCCUUGAUGUAGGAUAGGUGGGAGGCUUUGAAGUGUGGACGCCAGUCUGCAUGGAGCCGACCUUGAAAUACCACCCUUUAAUGUUUGAUGUUCUAACGUGACCCGUAAUCCGGGUUGCGGACAGUGUCUGGUGGGUAGUUUGACUGGGGCGGUCUCCUCCUAAAGAGUAACGGAGGAGCACGAAGGUUGGCUAAUCCUGGUCGGACAUCAGGAGGUUAGUGCAAUGGCAUAAGCCAGCUUGACUGCGAGCGUGACGGCGCGAGCAGGUGCGAAAGCAGGUCAUAGUGAUCCGGUGGUUCUGAAUGGAGGGCCAUCGCUCAACGGAUAAAAGGUACUCCGGGAUAACAGGCUGAUACCGCCCAAGAGUUCAUAUCGACGGCGGUGUUUGGCACCUCGAUGUCGGCUCAUCACAUCCUGGGGAGNAGGUCCCAAGGGUAUGGCUGUUCGCCAUUUAAAGUGGUACGCGAGCUGGGUUUAGAACGUCGUGAGACAGUUCGGUCCCUAUCUGCCGUGGGCGCUGGAGAACUGAGGGGCUGCUCCUAGUACGAGAGGACCGGAGUGGACGCAUCACUGGUGUUCGGGUUGUCAUGCCAAUGGCACUGCCCGGUAGCUAAAUGCGGAAGAGAUAAGUGCUGAAAGCAUCUAAGCACGAAACUUGCCCGAGAUGAGUUCUCCCUGACUCCUUGAGAGUCCUGAAGGAACGUUGAAGACGACGACGUAGAUAGGCCGGGUGUGUAAGCGCAGCGAUGCGUUGAGCUAACCGGUAC
rnacentral:rRNA from 1 species